UCCCGGUGUAGGUGGCCUUGCUCCCGGUGUAGGUGGCCUUGUUCCCGGUGUGGGUGGCCUGGUCCCUGGUGUUGGAGGCGUCCCAGGGGUUGGAGUUCCGGGCGCAGCAGCGAAAGCAGCAGCAAAGGCAGCGAAAUUCGGAGCCGGGGUCGGAGGGGUGCCCGGUGUUGGUGUGCCCGGUGUUGGUGUGCCCGGUGUUGGUGUGCCC